rnacentral:rRNA from 1 species
UACGUAGGCAGCAAGCGUUGCUCGGAGUUACUGGGCGUAAAGAGUGCGUAGGCGGUCCUGUAAGUUUGGUGUGAAAUCUCCCGGCUCAACUGGGAGGGUGCGCCGAAGACUGCAGGGCUUGAGUAUGGGAGAGGUAAGCGGAAUUCCUGGUGUAGCGGUGAAAUGCGUAGAUAUCAGGAGGAACACCUGUGGCGAAGGCGGCCACCUGGGCUGUACCUGACGCUCAAACACGAAAGCUAGGGGAGCGAACGGG